ACCGCACCCCGCGGACUCAGAAGCGAGCGGCACCCCGGGACCAUCCCACAGCAGAUCCAGUGGCCGCCAACGUCAGGCUGGAGUUGCCUCCUUCGUGGAUGUUGGAUGUGGAAGCCCAGGAGCCCCCCAAGGGGAAAUGGUCGACGCCGCCCUUCGACCCGCGCUUCCCCAGCCAGAACCAGAUCCGUAACUGCUACCAGAACUUCCUGGACUACCACCGCUGCCUCAAGACCAGGACCCGCCGCGGGAAGAGCACGCAGCCCUGCGAGUACUAUUUCCGCGUGUACCACUCGCUGUGCCCCAUCAGCUGGGUGGAGAGCUGGAACGAGCAGAUCAAGAACGGGAUUUUCGCCGGCAAAAUCUGACUGCCCCAGCGCGGCUUCCUCUGAAGAUGCAGUGAUCCUGCAUCUUUUUGUCUCGCGGAGCCCCGGGUCUCGGUUAUCCACCCCUACCUCCCAGUGUCUAAGCCACGAAUAAUGGACACACCCUAGAUGAGCCAUCCCCCAGGAUGACGCCACCUCUGAGAUCUUGGUCUCCUGGCUCCGUCUCUGACCACAACCCAAGAAUGGGGUGAGGGCACAGGGUGUGGACUCAACUACAGGAGGGCUUCCUGUUCAUGCAACGUCCCCAGAGCCUUGACGAAUGCACAGAGGCGCUGGCAGAACCACGGGGGCAGGACCCCUCUCUGAGUCACAGAAUGGAGCUAAGUUGGUGAGGUCACCCAGCCACCAGCCUUCGAGUUCCUUGUUUCCCUUGCUCUGGUCUCCACGUGUAUGAUGGGGUUCUCAGGCCCAGGCUUCGACCAGAGGACCCUCUGCCACCACCGUUUCUUCCUGUCCUUGAGCUACCUUGGUGAACUCAUGACCCCAGGCCCCUGCUCCACCAGGAUGUCCCCCAGGUCCUGCCAGCUGGGAAGUGCCAGCAUGAACGCCUCCAACUUCGUGGAAGCCAGGGUCCCCUGCAGCUGAGGGACGCCAAGCAGACACACCUGCCCUCCCCAGCCAGCUCCUGUCUGUAUGGGCGAGAUGACUGAGAGCGCCCACGUCCCUAAGGCUGUCCUGACCCUCCAUGCUGCGACAAGGACAGGGAAUGGUCGGUCACUAUGGGCCUGGUGUCUCCCCUCCCCCACCACCCGGUGCUGCCCAGCUCAAGCCAGAAGCUGACUUUGGCCGCCAUGGGGACAUCAGGCAAGGUCUGGAGACAUUUUUGGUUGGGGCAGAGGCAUGCUCCUGGCAUCGAGUGGGUGGAGACCAGAGAAGCCGCUCAACAUCCUGCAAUGCAUGGGACAGGCCCUGCCUAGAAACACCAGCUCAGCAUGGCAGCAGUGCGGAGGCCAGGAAACCCUGAUCGCCAGUUUCUAACGCCCUCACCAUUUUUAUUUUUAUUUUUAUUUUUUUUGAGACAGAGUUUCGCUCCUGUCACCCAGGCUGGAGUACAAUGAUGCGAUCUCAGCUCACUGCAACCUCUGCCUCCCGGGUUCAAGUGAUUCUCCUGCCUCAGCCUCCCGAGUAGCUGGGAUUACAGGCAUGCACCACCACGCCCAGCUUAUUUUGUAUUUUUAGUAGAGACGGGGUUUCUCCGUGUUGGUCAGGCUGGUCUCAAACUCCUGACCUCAGGCAAUCUGCCCACCUCAGCCUCCCAAAGUGCUGGGAUUACAGGCGUGAGCCACUGCACCCGGCUCACCACUAGUUUUUAGCCCUUUUUGUUGGGGGUGGGGUGGGGGCAGAGGAGAGGCGGAUACAGAAACUUGUGAGAAUGUGAUGAACGCUCUGAACCCCCUAUAAAAAAUGUGCAUGUAAAUA
rnacentral:lncRNA from 1 species